AUUUAUUAGGUGGUUUGCCUCCGUGCCAUCAUCGACCCAACCAAACCGGCUGUACGUUCACUCCGGGACGUCGGCCGGAGCCACGAGCAACAUUCCGGCAAAGCUCGCCAAAGGGUACCCGCAGAGAACAAUUUUCGAGAACCUCGACGACGCCGGGAUUUCCUUCGGAAUAUACUACCAGAACAUUCCGGCCACACUAUUCUACCGGAACCUGAGAAAGAUCAAGUAUUGGGGGAAAUUCCAUCCGUACGGCACGUCGUUCAAGAAAGAUGCGAGGGACGGGAAGCUUCCGGGAUACGUUGUGGUGGAGCAGCGGUACACGGACACUAAGAGCGAGCCGGGCAAUGACGACCAUCCAUCGCAUGAUGUGUACCAAGGACAGAUGUUCGUGAAGGAGGUGUACGAAACCCUGAGGGCCAGCCCGCAGUGGAAUGAGACUUUGUUCGUGAUCACGUACGAUGAGCACGGUGGGUUUUAUGAUCACGUGCCUACGCCCGUCCGUGGGGUGCCCAGCCCCGACGGCAUUGUGGGGCCCGAACCGUUUCUCUUUAAGUUUGAUCGGUUGGGCGUUCGGGUUCCUACCAUUGCGGUCUCUCCUUGGAUUGAAAAGGGCACCGGUGAGUACACGUGAAAAAAAAAAAAAAAAAUCAGCUCACGGCACUCACUCACUCACUCUCACAUAUUCUUAUAUUCAUAUAUAUUCACAUCCACGUUCCUUUCUUCUUCAUGCACAACAAACCCAAAACGCAAAAAAAAAAAUGUUUUCAAAAACGAGCUUUGUUUUCUUAAUCUUGUUUUUAAUUGUUCGCAACAACAAUGUCAUCCAUGCAGGGAGCCCAAUCAAAACCAUCGUGGUGCUGGUGAUGGAGAACCGUUCGUUCGAUCACAUGAUCGGAUGGAUGAAGAAGCUCAACCCCGAAAUCAACGGCGUUGAUGGGUCGGAGUGGAACCCGUUAUCCACAACUGAUCCCAAGUCCCAGCGUUUCUUCUUCAAGAACCAGGCGCAGUUCGUGGACCCUGAUCCGGGCCACUCGUUUCAGGCCAUCAGGGAGCAGAUAUUCGGGUCGAACGACACCUCCUCGGAUCAUCCGCCGAUGAACGGGUUCGCCCAGCAAGCUUUUUCAAUGGACCCGUCUUUGAACAUGUCCCACAAUGUCAUGAAUGGCUUUGAGCCUGAUAUGGUUGCUGUUUACAAGACCCUUGUUUCCGAAUUUGCUGUCUUUGAUAGGUCAGUUUAAAACAGUUUUUAACUUGCACUCGUUUAACUUGUUAGGGGUAAAAUAGUAAUUGACUUUUCCAAAGGUUUAAAUGCAAUUUGAUCUGAGUAGUGUCAAAAUUUUAACAGAAAAAACUUGUCCAAGCAAGCUAUUAAGUGCUUUCCAGACAAAAAGACUAAAAAUUUAGUGCUUUCCAGUUACCAACUUUUGAAAGUUUUGGUGAAAUUCUUUAGAAUUCCUUAAUAAACAACAAAUCAUUUACAUAAAAGUAGUCAGUCAAUCAUAAGGAGACUCGAUUCAGUUUUCUUCUUAAUAGUGUAUGUUAUAUAAAGUCAAAUGCAUAAAUUUCAAUUGAUAUGGUAGCAUGUAAGAAAUUUUGUAAAUUCACGUGUAUAUAUAUAUAUAUUUUUAUGCUAAUAGUAUUCAUGAAUUAUUUAUUAGGUGGUUUGCCUCCGUGCCAUCAUCGACCCAACCAAACCGGCUGUACGUUCACUCCGGGACGUCGGCCGGAGCCACGAGCAACAUUCCGGCAAAGCUCGCCAAAGGGUACCCGCAGAGAACAAUUUUCGAGAACCUCGACGACGCCGGGAUUUCCUUCGGAAUAUACUACCAGAACAUUCCGGCCACACUAUUCUACCGGAACCUGAGAAAGAUCAAGUAUUGGGGGAAAUUCCAUCCGUACGGCACGUCGUUCAAGAAAGAUGCGAGGGACGGGAAGCUUCCGGGAUACGUUGUGGUGGAGCAGCGGUACACGGACACUAAGAGCGAGCCGGGCAAUGACGACCAUCCAUCGCAUGAUGUGUACCAAGGACAGAUGUUCGUGAAGGAGGUGUACGAAACCCUGAGGGCCAGCCCGCAGUGGAAUGAGACUUUGUUCGUGAUCACGUACGAUGAGCACGGUGGGUUUUAUGAUCACGUGCCUACGCCCGUCCGUGGGGUGCCC
rnacentral:lncRNA from 1 species